rnacentral:tRNA from 1 species
GUCCAGGGAUGGGAAUCGAACACAACUGUGUUCCGCUUACCGGGCAGAUGCCAUGUCCACUAGGCUACCCUGGA